rnacentral:lncRNA from 1 species
UUUUUUUUUUUUUUUAAUAGAGAUGGGGUUUCUCCAUGUUGGUCAGGCUGGUCUCGAACUCCCAACCUCAGGUGAUCCGCCCAUCUCGGCCUCCCAAAGUGCUGGGAUUACAGGCAUGAGUCACCGCACCUAGACCUCUGUCUUUACUAAAAAUAUAAAAAUUAGCCAGGCAUGCUGGCACACACUUGUAAUCCCAGCUACUCAGGAGGUUGAGGCAUGAGAAUUGCUUGAAUCUGGAAGGCAGAGGUUGCGGUGAGCCGAUAUUGAACCACUGCACUCCAGCCUGGGUGAAAGAGUAAGACUCUGUCUCAAAAAACCGAAACCAAAAACAAACAAACAAACAAAAACAUUCUUUGCAAACUAAGAAGAAAAGGAACUUCCUCAAGUCUGACAAAGGAUAUUUACAAACAAAGAUAUCACUAGCGUGAUACUUAAUGGUGAAAGACUGAAUGCAUUCUCCCUAAGACUGGGAAUGAGGCAAGGAUGUCUGCUUCUGCCGUUUCUAUUCAGCAUUGUAUUGGAGAGUCUGUGCUGUACAAUGAGACAAGAAAAGGAAAUUAAAGGGAUCAGAAUUUGAAUUGUCUUUACUUAUAUACAAUAUGAUCACAUAUAUACACACACACACACAGAUACACACACAUAUAUAUAUAUGAUUCUAAGGAAUCUACGUAAAAUCUAGUAGAAUCGGUAAGUGAGUUUAGGAAGGUUGCAAUAUAGAGGGCCAAAAUACAAAAAUUAGCUGUGUUUCUAUAUACUAGCAACAAACAAUCAGAAAUUGAAAUAAAAAUAACAAUACCACUUUCAAUUAAGCAUCGAAAAUAUGAAACACUUACGGAUAAAUCUGACAAAAGAUAUACAAGAUUGAUACUGAAAACAACAAAACAUUGCUAAGAGAAAUUAAAGGAGACCUAAAUAAAUGGAAGGAUAUAGUUUUUGAUAGGUAAACAGACUCUAUACUGUGAAAAUGUCAAUUCUUCCCAAAUUGAUCUAUAAUUCAAUGCAAUCACAAUCAAGAUAUUAAUAAGAAGCUCCAGUUCUAGGUAAGAUGGAAUAAACACAUUCCACACUGUCUGUCUCUCUCACAAUGAAUGCAGCUAUAAAUUUUGUACAGAAUGCAUGGAGCAACUAUAUGAAGACUCUGAAAGUAAAUCAAUGCAGGCAGACUGAAGAAGAAUAAUAUAUUUGAAUAUACCACCCAAGUAGCAGUGAGUUUACUGUAUUUUUUCCUCUGGUAUCCCCCAACCUGAACUCAAUGCAGCCC